UUCCAGUCAACCCACCAUGUGACAACACAGAAGAGACUCAGUGUUUCUCCAAGGUGGCCCUUUCAGGAUGUGAAAGUGACUGUUUUGUGGAAAACGUUAGCAGCAAUGAUGCGGAAGAGAAUGCAGCCACUCCAGAUGAGUGCUGCCCUCAGACACCAAGAAACUGCAUGGUGCAUAUUGAGGAUUUGGAGGAGAGCAAGACUAUAGAGAUACCAAAAAGAUCUCUGGUCAUCUUUUUGAAGACUGCUUCAGGAGAAUUCAGCAGCAAUGAUGAGGAAGACCUGGAAGAGCAAGAGUGAACGUGGGACCUGGGGUGAAAGGCUCUGCUCUGAAUCCCUGAAGACCUGGACCUGGACAUCAUCCUGGACCCCAGAGGGGAUGGAGCCCCCACAGCACCAGAAGCCUCAUCUGGACCAGAUCAGGGGAGGCCUCACUGCCUCUCUACUGAGAGUCCUCAUUUAGUACAGCUUCAUUUGUUUUG
ensembl:lncRNA